rnacentral:RNase_P_RNA from 3 species
GAAGUAGUUCAGAUGAUCGCGGGCAGAGGGCUCCAUUUUUCAAAUCCCGCAUCUUGCGAGAAUUGAUGACAUAAGGGUGCAGCCUUGCUGCCUGAGGAAAGUCCGGGCACCAGAGGGCAGGCUGCUGGAUAACGUCCAGUGCAGGUGACUGUGAGGAUAGUGCCACAGAAAUGAAGACCGCCUAUGUGAAACGGGUGUAAGCCCAAAAGGGUUUAUUUAUACCCGCUUCGCAGGUAAGGGUGCAACGGUGGUGGGGUGCAAAUCCCUUAAUGUAAGAGACCACCAGCAACAUCGAGAGGUGUUGGCUAGGUAAACCCCAGCUUGGUGCAAGGUAAUGGGAACUAAAGUGACCCGCUGUUCCCAUGUAAUCCGCUAGAGGUGUUUGGCAACAAACAUCCCAGAUAGAUGAUCAUCAGGCAAAGCUUGACUUUGCUUACAGAACCCGGCUUAUAGGCUACUUCCUUU